rnacentral:rRNA from 1 species
UCUGUGAACUCCUACGGGAGGCAGCAGUGGGGAAUAUUGGACAAUGGGCGGAAGCCUGAUCCAGCCAUGCCGCGUGUGUGAAGAAGGCCUUUUGGUUGUAAGGCACUUUAAGCGAGGAGGAGGCUACUUGGAUUAAUACUCUAGGAUAGUGGACGUUACUCGCAGAAUAAGCACCGGCUAACUCUGUGCCAGCAGCCGCGGUAAUACAGAGGGUGCGAGCGUUAAUCGGAUUUACUGGGCGUAAAGCGUGCGUAGGCGGCUUCCUAAGUCGGAUGUGAAAUCCCUGAGCUUAACUUAGGAAUUGCAUUCGAUACUGGGAAGCUAGAGUAUGGGAGAGGAUGGUAGAAUUCCAGGUGUAGCGGUGAAAUGCGUAGAGAUCUGGAGGAAUACCGAUGGCGAAGGCAGCCAUCUGGCCUAAUACUGACGCUGAGGUACGAGAGCAUGGGGAGCAAACAGGAUUAGAAACCCCGGUAGUCCAUCAGCG